rnacentral:rRNA from 1 species
GAUGAACGCUGGCGGCGUGCCUAAUACAUGCAAGUCGCGCGAACAGAUAAGGAGCUUGCUCCUUUGACGUUAGCGGCGGACGGGUGAGUAACACGUGGGUAACCUACCUAUAAGACUGGGAUAACUUCGGGAAACCGGAGCUAAUACCGGAUAACAUUUGGAACCGCAUGGUUCUAAAGUGAAAGAUGGUUUUGCUAUCACUUAUAGAUGGACCCGCGCCGUAUUAGCUAGUUGGUAAGGUAACGGCUUACCAAGGCGACGAGACGUAGCCGACCUGAGAGGGUGAUCGGCCACACUGGAACUGAGACACGGUCCAGACUCCUACGGGAGGCAGCAGUAGGGAAUCUUCCGCAAUGGGCGAAAGCCUGACGGAGCAACGCCGCGUGAGUGAUGAAGGGUUUCGGCUCGUAAAACUCUGUUAUUAGGGAAGAACAAACGUGUAAGUAACUGUGCACGUCUUGACGGUACCUAAUCAGAAAGCCACGGCUAACUACGUGCCAGCAGCCGCGGUAA